rnacentral:lncRNA from 1 species
UUCACAGUGAUCUCCAAGUGCAGAUGCUCUGUAGCCCUGGUCACACAAACACUGGAAGGAGCCCUCUGUGUUCCUGCACUGGCCGUGAGCACAGAGGUGGCGGUGCUGGCAUUCAUCAAUCUCCACACAGGUCUUUUGCUGCUGACAGCUGGUACCCCUGGCCACAGGUACACCGGAAGGAGCCCUCUGUGUUCUUGCACUGUCCAUUCAUACAUAGAUUCCCUUGCUGACAUUCAUCAAUCUUGACAGUGUCUGUGGUCUGGCGUGGGGCUGUAACCCUUGUGACAGGAGCACAUGAAGGAACCUUCAAGGUUGGAACAAGAACCAUUUGUGCAGACAUUUGGUUCCAGGCACUCGUCCACGUC